rnacentral:rRNA from 1 species
GAUGAACGCUAGCUACAGGCUUAACACAUGCAAGUCGAGGGGAAACGAUGAGAGAGUUUGCUCUCUUCGGCGUCGACCGGCGCACGGGUGAGUAACGCGUAUCCAACCUACCCAUUACAGGGGGAUAACCUUGCGCAAGUAAGACUAAUACCCAAUGGCAUUUUAUGGUGGCAUCAUUAUAGGAUUCAAGAUUUAUUGGUCAUGGAUGGGGAUGCGUCUGAUUAGCUUGUUGGCGGCGUAACGGCCCAGCAAGGCACCGCUCAGGAGCGGUUCUGAGAGGAAGGUACACCAGAUUGGAACCGAGACCCAGUCCAAACUGGUACGGGAGGCAGGAGUGAGGAAUACUAGGCAAUGAGCGAGAGCUUGAACCAGCCAAGUAGCGUGCAGGAGGACGGGCCUAUGGGUUGUAAGCUGCUUUUAUAGAAGAAAAGAGUGAGCUACGUGUAGUUUAUUGAAGGUACCCUAUGAAUAAGGACCGGCUAAUUCCGUG